UGUUCACUACGGAAUUAAGAGAUGAACAAAAUUUAUUAGUUUCUUCUGAUUCCAAUCAGGGUUUGUCUAGACAUGGGACGAUUUGAGUUUGACAUGGGAUGUAUUGUACAUCGAGGUAUUCCGUUAGUCCGUAUUGAUUUAGAGUUUGACAUGGGAUGUAUUGUACAUCGAGGUAUUCCGUGUUGAUUUAGAGCUUGACAUGGGAUGUAUUGUACAUCGAGGUAUUCCGUGUUGAUUUAGAGUUUGACAUGGGAUGUAUUGUACAUCGAGGUAUUCCGUGUUGAUUUAGAGCUUGACAUGGGAUGUAUUGUACAUCGAGGUAUUCCGUGUUGAUUUAGAGUUUGACAUGGGAUGUAUUGUACAUCGAGGUAUUCCGUGUUGAUUUAGAGCUUGACAUGGGAUGUAUUGUACAUCGAGGUUUUCCGUGUUGAUUUAGAGUUUGACAUGGGAUGUAAUGUACAUCGAGGAAUUCCGU